rnacentral:misc_RNA from 1 species
AGCAGCUGCAGCAGCAUGCAUGAAAACAAUGCUAAGUUAAUACCCUGGCAAUUCCUGCAGUCAAAGAAUGUUGUUUGUAUAUUCUCCAACAUCAUGCACAAAAACAUGCAGUUCCCCCUAUACCCAAUCCCAGGGGAAAUAAUCAGAUGACUGCAAUAUCCAUAAAUCUUUGAAGCUCCCAAAACUGAAGUGUAUGCCCUCUCACCGAAGGGAGAGGGGGUAAAAAUGAAAGAAUAGCAACAUGC